GGAUAACCUGCCCUAUCGUCUGGAAUAACCUCGGGAAACUGAGAAUAAGGCCGGAUAGUUCACAAAGCCUGGAACGGUUUGUGGAUCAAGGUAGGAUGGGUCUGCGGCGUAUCAGGUAGUAGGGGGUGUAAAGGACCCCCUAGCCUUCGACGCGUACGGGUGUUGGGAGACAUAGCCCGGAGAUGGAUUCUGAGACACGAAUCCAGACCCUACGGGGUGCAGCAGGCGCGAAAACUUCACACUGCAGGAAACUGUGAUGAGGGAACUCCAAGUGUGUGCACUAUGUGUACACUUUUAUGAACUUUUAAUCGGUUCAGGAAUAAGGGCUGGGAAAGACCGGUGCCAGCCGCCGCGGUAAUACCGGCAGCUCAAGUGGUCGUCGCUUUUAUUGGGCCUAAAACGUCCGUAGCCUGUUUGGUAAAUCUGUGGGUAAAUCAACUCGCUCAACGAGUUGAAUUCUGCAGAGACUGCCAGACUAGGGACCGGGAGAGGUGUGGGGUACUCGAGGGGUAGGGGUAAAAUCCUGUCAUCCUUCGAGGACCACCAGUUGCGAAGGCGCCACACUGGAACGGAUCCGACGGUCAGGGACGAAGCCUAGGGGCACGAACCGGAUUAGAUACCCGGGUAGUCCUAGGUGUAAACGCUGUGAACUUGGUGUCGGGGGUCCGCAAGGGGUCCCCGGUGCCGGAGUGAAGAUGUUAAGUUCACUGCCUGGGGAGUACGGUCGCAAGGCUGAAACUU
rnacentral:rRNA from 1 species